GUGGCUAGCUCAGUCGGUAGAACAUGAGACUCUUAAUCUCAGGGUUGUGGGUUUGAGUCCCACAUUGGGCCCA